UACGUAGGGCGCAAGCGUUAUCCGGAAUUAUUGGGCGUAAAGAGCUCGUAGGCGGUUUGUCGCGUCGGAUGUGAAAGCCCGGGGCUUAACUCCGGGUCUGCAUUCGAUACGGGCAGACUAGAGUGUGGUAGGGGAGAUCGGAAUUCCUGGUGUAGCGGUGAAAUGCGCAGAUAUCAGGAGGAACACCGGUGGCGAAGGCGGAUCUCUGGGCCAUUACUGACGCUGAGGAGCGAAAGCGUGGGGAGCGAACAGG
rnacentral:rRNA from 1 species